rnacentral:rRNA from 1 species
GACGAACGCUGGCGGCGUGGAUUAGGCAUGCAAGUCGAACGGUAGGAUACCUUCGGGUAUCUGAGAGUGGCGAACGGGUGAGUAACACGUAGGUGAUCUACCCUCAAGAUUGGGACAACCCAGGGAAACUUGGGCUAAUACCGGAUGAAAGUAGCAGUGAUGUUGUUUGAAAGGUGGCGUAAGCUGCCGUUUGGGGAUGAGCCUGCGCUCUAUUAGUUAGUUGGCGGGGUAAAGGCCCACCAAGGCGAUGAUAGAUAGGCGGCCUUAACGGGUGGUCGCCCACACUGGGAUUGAGAUACGGCCCAGACUCCUACGGGAGGCAGCAGUCGAGAAUAGUCUACAAUGGCCGAAAGGCUGAUAGUGCGACGCCGCGUGAACGAAGAAGCCCUUCGGGUGUAAAGUUCUUUUAUAUGUGAGCAGUGCUUUCUAUGUGAACAGCAUGGGGAGAGAGAUAUUAGCAUAUGAAUAAGCAACGGCUAACUCCGUGCCAGCAGCCGAC